GAGUGAAGCGGCAGAGCUCAAAUUUGAAAUCUGGCUCCUCCGGGGUCCGAGUUGUAAUUUGCAGAGGAUGCUUGGUGCGGUCCCCGUCUAAGUACCCUGGAAUGGGUCGUCAUAGAGGGUGAGAAUCCCGUCUGGGACGGGUGGCCGUGUCCGUGUGAAGCUCCUUCGACGAGUCGAGUUGUUUGGGAAUGCAGCUCUAAAUGGGUGGUAAAUUUCAUCUAAAGCUAAAUAUUGGCCGGAGACCGAUAGCGCACAAGUAGAGUGAUCGAAAGAUGAAAAGCACUUUGAAAAGAGAGUUAAACAGCACGUGAAAUUGUUGAAAGGGAAGCGCUUGCGACCAGACUCGCCCGCGGGGGUUCAGCCGGUACUCGUACCGGUGUACUCCCCCGUGGGCGGCCAGCGUCGGUUUGGGCGGCCGGUCAAAGGCCUCCGGAAUGUAUCGCCCUUCGGGGCGUCUUAUAGCCGGGGGUGCAAUGCGGCCAGCCUGGACCGAGGAAC
rnacentral:rRNA from 1 species